rnacentral:rRNA from 1 species
UACGUAGGGGGCAAGCGUUAUCCGGAUUUACUGGGUGUAAAGGGAGCGUAGACGGCGAUGCAAGUCUGAGGUGAAAGGCGGGGGCCCAACCCCCGGACUGCUUUGGAAACUGUAUGGCUGGAGUGCAGGAGAGGUAAGUGGAAUUCCUAGUGUAGCGGUGAAAUGCGUAGAUAUUAGGAGGAACACCAGUGGCGAAGGCGGCUUACUGGACUGUAACUGACGUUGAGGCUCGAAAGCGUGGGGAGCAAACAGG